AUGUCUGGGAAACUGCCUGAUGGAGGGGGAUAACUACUGGAAACGGUAGCUAAUACCGCAUAACGUCGCAAGACCAAAGAGGGGGACCUUCGGGCCUCUUGCCAUCGGAUGUGCCCAGAUGGGAUUAGCUUGUUGGUGAGGUAAAGGCUCACCAAGGCGACGAUCCCUAGCUGGUCUGAGAGGAUGACCAGCCACACUGGAACUGAGACACGGUCCAGACUCCUACGGGAGGCAGCAGUGGGGAAUAUUGCACAAUGGGCGCAAGCCUGAUGCAGCCAUGCCGCGUGUGUGAAGAAGGCCUUCGGGUUGUAAAGCACUUUCAGCGGGGAGGAAGGCGGUGAGUUUAAUAAGCUCACCGAUUGACGUUACCCCCAGAAGAAGCACCGGCUAACUCCGUGCCAUCAGCCGCGGUAAUACGGAGGGUGCGAGCGUUAAUCGGAAUUACUGGGCGUAAAGCGCACGCACGCGGGCUGGCCCGCCGGAUGUGAAAUCCCCGGUCUCAACCUGGGAACUGCCUUCGAAAGUGGCAGGCUAGAGUCUUGUACAGGGGGGUACAAUUCCAGGGGUAACGGUCAAAUGCGUAAACAUCUUGAGGAAUAG
rnacentral:rRNA from 1 species